rnacentral:lncRNA from 1 species
UUCAAUUUUUUUUAUAAUCUUAAUUAAUUAUAAAGUGAAUUUAAGGAAGAUACCAAGUCUUUGUAAUACUUUUAGAAUUUGCGCAGCAAGUCUUAUUGCUUAGCCUUAUGAUCUAGUUUUGGAAUCUAUUGGACAGCUGUUUUAUGUUUUCCACAGCCAUGAAACUUAUGGGAAGGAUCAAAAAGUGAAAGAGUUGCAAACAUGCAACGUUAUAUCAAAGCAUAAACAUUGAUAGAUUAUGUUUGUAUUUUAAGUGUUUCCUUUCUUGGCAUCUAUAGUAGAUUUCGAUUAUUCAAAGCAUCAUUUUCUAGCUUUUUCAAUUUCCACCGACCAGUCGAAAUUAAAGUUGAAAUGAUAUAUAUCAGAGAAGGAAAAUGCUUGGUGAAGAGAAGCAUGAGAGAAAAAUAAGAGAAAUAAAGAAGAAAAUAGUAGAGAAAGAGUGAGUGAGUAGAGAGAGAGAUGACAAAAUUCUUUCAUCUUUUUCUCGUGCUUCUCUACACCUACAGCUACUCAUCAGAGAAAUGUUAGUUGUCUUUCAUAUAUAGUGACGUGGCAGCCACCUAGACUCCAAUUAUUAUUAUUAUUAGAACUCGGCUAUGUUGGGGAUGAUCCAACUUGGAGUCAACCAACGUGACCCGUUGGAUCCCUACACUAUUUUUCAACCGUUAAGAUCAGUGACACAAAUAUUAGGUGACCGGGUAAAAUGGUUUAAAAUAUUUAGGAUAACACGCUGUCAUUUUAAGGGAAAAAUUUUACUCUCACACAAAUUGUAAGCCAUUCUUUCUCUCCUGAUUCAGAGAAGCAACUAAAAUCACAAAAAAGAGGACGAUUUGAAGACAAUAUGUAUUGAAAUAGGCGAGAGUCCUUAAAUGACUUAAAUUGGGGUUUCCUUCGUGGGAUUGAUAGGCCGUUGAGUCUUUAAUGAUACGGUGAUGAAAAUAGAUGAUAUUUUGUUCCUGUUGCAAGGUUGUACAGUGGCAGCGACGAUUAUUACGAUUAUCAGAAUAAUUAUUUGGUUUUUGUGUCUUAUUACGUUUAUCAAGUUUGGUCAUCAUAAAUCUGUGUAGCCGUGAAGUUUUAGUGAAAUUGUAAUAUGGACGGUUGAUUCGAAGAUGAAGAUUUGCAUGUAGUGUUUUAAUUUUUUUUUUUUAAAUUAAAUUUAUGACAUGGGCAAGUUUAGGGUUGUGACAGUGAUUCCAUAAUUGGGAAAUAAUAAAAAGAUAACGAAGGCUUAGUGCUAUUUGUCACUUGUCAUUCUAAUUGCAGAUUGCUUUUGGUGACGAAGAUGAAGAUUUUAACGCGAAGAUGAAGUUUAGGGUUGUGAUAGCGAUUCCAUAAUUGGGAAAUAAUAAAAAGAGAACGAAGGCUUAGUGCUAUUUGUCACUUGAUUGUCACUUGUCAUUCUAAUUGCAGAUUGCUUCUGGUGACGAUGAUGAAGAUUUAACACGAAGUCCUGUUUAUCGAAAUGGAACCGGUAAUCUUUGUAGCUGUGUCACGUUCCCAUUGGAUGUAAAUUUCCUAAAUAUUUAAUCUUCACCAUUGCUUUAAAAGCAACUAUCCAACGAUUGAGAUUAGUUGGCUCCAAGUUGGAUCAUCUCCAACUCCAACAUAGCUGAACCCUUAUUAUUGUUGUUAUAUAAAAGGUAGAGGAAUACACCGUGUCCAUAUAUAUCUUAUAACACAUACCUCCCUUAUGAUCGAAUGGCGAAUCAAAUAAAGUUAUUUGAGAGUUAAUUGACUAAGUCCGUAGAGUUCGAACUCCAAUUACAUAUACAUAGACACAUUGUUCAUUUUCCCUCCUCUAUUUUGAUUUUGUUUUAGUUUAUUAAGUAAGCUGACUGAGAACAGACCUUCCAUUUACUUUGUAGUCUACUAUAAAUAUGUGUAAUCUAUAUGCUGAACUUGUAAGCUUAGAUCAAUUAGUAUGUUGAAGAAUGAUCAGAUGCGCAUCAUCUGCAUGUUAUUGUGCAUGAUAGGCCACGUGUUACUUGAUAAUUGGCCAAACUAUUAAACAUCAAUCUAUAAUUAGGUGACAUUUGGCUUAUCGCAUCUGAUUGGGUCUCUCAAGAUCCAAUACUCAAUAAAAACACUCUCAAAGAAAGAUAGUAAAUAGGUUUGCAUACGAUUCAAACAGGUGCAAGGUCAUUUCAUAUAUUAUUGCUUAGGGGAAAAGGUCACCCACGUGGUCACGCCCCUAAAGUUUAUUUAAAUGGUCACAUAGACCCCCUUAAUAUUAUAAGAAACUAUUAUAUUAUUUGAUUGUAAUAACCUAAGUAAAUAUAAAUAUAGUAAUAAGAUACAA